rnacentral:rRNA from 1 species
GCAAGUCGAACGGUAACAGGGAUUGCUUGCAAUCCGCUGACGAGUGGCGCACGGGUGCGUAACGCGUAUGGAACCUACCCUUUACUGGGGGAUAGCCCGGAGAAAUUCGGAUUAAUACCCCGUAGUAUUGCUUAGUGGCAUCACUUGAGCAAUUAAAGCUUCGGCGGUAGAGGAUGGCCAUGCGUCCUAUUAGCUUGAUGGUGAGGUAACGGCUCACCAUUGCUACGAUAGGUAGGGGCCCUGAGAGGGGGAUCCCCCACACUGGUACUGAGACACGGACCAGACUCCUACGGGAGGCAGCAGUGAGGAAUAUUGGACAAUGGUCGAAAGACUGAUCCAGCCAUGCCGCGUGCAGGAAGACGGCCCUACGGGUUGUAAACUGCUUUUUUACGGGAAGAAUAAUGCCCACGUGUGGGCAGAUGACGGUACCGUACGAAUAAGGACCGGCUAACUCCGUGCCAGCAGCCGCGGUAAUACGGAGGGUCCGAGCGUUAUCCGGAAUCAUUGGGUUUAAAGGGUCCGCAGGCGGGCCAGUAAGUCAGGGGUGAAAGUUUGCGGCUCAACCGUAAAAUUGCCUUUGAUACUGCUGGUCUUGAGUUGUGGUGAAGUGGCCGGAAUAUGUGGUGUAGCGGUGAAAUGCAUAGAUAUCACAUAGAACACCGAUUGCGAAGGCAGGUCACUAACCACACACUGACGCUGAUGGACGAAAGCGUGGGGAGCGAACG